CAGCCGCCGCGGUAAUACCGGCGGCCCGAGUGGCGGCCACUAUUAUUGGGCUUAAAGCGUCCGUAGCCGGGUUGGUUAGUCUCCCGGGAAAUCUGGCCGCUUAACGGUCAGAAUUCCGGGAGAUACUGCCAGCCUAGGGACCGGGAGAGGCCGAGGGUAUUCCCGGAGUAGGGGUGAAAUCCUAUAAUCCCGGGAGGACCACCUGUGGCGAAGGCGCUCGGCUGGAACGGGUCCGACGGUGAGGGACGAAGGCCAGGGGAGCAAACCGGAUUAGAUGCCCGGGUAGUCCUGGCGGUAAACGAUGCGGACUUUGUGUCGGACAAGCUAUGAGCUUGUCCGGUGCCGGAGGGAAACCGUUAAGUCCGCCGCCUGGGGAGUACGGCCGCAAGGCUGAAACUUAAAGGAAUUGGCGGG
rnacentral:rRNA from 1 species